rnacentral:rRNA from 1 species
GACGAACCGAGCGAACGUUGUUCGGAAUCACUGGGCUUAAAGGGCGCGUAGGCGGGUGCUCAAGUCCGGGGUGAAAUCCUCCAGCUCAACUGGAGAACUGCCUCGGAUACUGGGUGUCUCGAGGGUGGUAGGGGUAUGCGGAACUAUCGGUGGAGCGGUGAAAUGCGUUGAUAUCGAUAGGAACUCCGGUGGCGAAGGCGGCAUACUGGACCACUUCUGACGCUGAGGCGCGAAAGCCAGGGGAGCGAACGGG